GACGAACGCUGGCGGCGUGCUUAACACAUGCAAGUCGAACGGAAAGGCCCUGCUUUUGUGGGGUGCUCGAGUGGCGAACGGGUGAGUAACACGUGAGUAACCUGCCCUUGACUUUGGGAUAACUUCAGGAAACUGGGGCUAAUACCGGAUAGGAGCUCCUGCUGCAUGGUGGGGGUUGGAAAGUUUCGGCGGUUGGGGAUGGACUCGCGGCCUAUCAGCUUGUUGGUUGGGUAGUGGCUUACCAAGGCUUUGACGGGUAGCCGGCCUGAGAGGGUGACCGGCCCCAUUGGGACUGAGAUACGGCCCAGACUCCUACGGGAGGCAGCAGUGGGGAAUAUUGCACAAUGGGCGGAAGCCGUAUGCAGCAACGCCGCGUGCGGGAUGACGGCCUUCGGGUUGUAAACCGCUUUCGCCUGUGACGAAGCGUGAGUGACGGUAAUGGGUAAAGAAGCACCGGCUAACUACGUG
rnacentral:rRNA from 1 species